AAGACGCUGCAGGACACCAAAUUGAUUUUCUUCUCUGUCUAUUUUGCACCUUUGUAGCAUGAAAGAAGCAAUGAGUAGAAAGGUGUGUGUGUCUGGGGUGUGUGUGCUAAUGUGAGUGAACAAAAGCAUCAUGUUAAAAUAUGAUAUUCCUUCACUAUUACCCUAAGUAUGUGGCAAGUAAGAAGGAAACAGGCUUAAGAAACACUGUGAAAUUAAACUUUAUAGGAUUAUGCCUUUGUGGAAUAUGCAGUAGCUGCCACAUUGAAUAAAUGUAUGUUUUUCAUUAUAUUUUUAUUGCACAUUAAGGAGCAAGAGUGAAAAAAGAAAAGGAAACUUAUUAGAUUUAGCAAGUAAUCACAUCAGUUUUUAUGUACAGGGAUAUUUUGUGAAAAGAAAGAACGAUGUACCUCAGCUGUCCUUGUGGGCUCUUCAGUAAGUCAUUUUUCCUUGGGAAAAAUAUUAAUAGAUGUUUGGCAAGGUUUGUUUUCCUAAUGUAUGCACAUUUUGUCUUUUUUAUUAUACACUCUUAUAAGCAGGCCCGUUUCCCCUUGCAGCCAUCUAGCACAGUGACUAGGAAAUGAUAUUGCGUCAUUUUUCUCCCUAAUAGAUGGACACAGCUUUGUCGUAUUUGUGUGUGAGUGUGUAGGUGUGCAUUGGCCAACACUUAUGACAGAUGUAUUCAGUGGCCUGGCUCAGGAUUUCCAAAGGGGCCAGAGCAUUCCCUAAGAAUAAAGGGGCAAUAUCAGGAGUUAGUACAACACGAUUAAAUGCAGUUCAGGGAAGGGUUUCAUUUGCAAGCAAAUUGCAACAUCAUUUAUUUAAUCCCUUAUGCACACCCCCUUAAUAUGGAUGCUUUCUCAUAGGUCUUUUGAAAAAGGUCUCCGAAAGCUGAACUUUCCCCUUUCCCUCCCCCCACCUUGUCUACAUGCCUUUUGUAACUUACUCUCCACAUAUCUGCCCACUCCUAAACUCCAGGAUAAAUGGAACAGUUUAUAUCAUUGUCAAAUGUCAUUGUCAAGCAUCCUUUUGAGCACUAUCCAUGAGAAUCUAACGGUCCUGCUCACUGCGACCUUUACUGCAGAUGUUUGGAAUGAGUGAGUAGGCUUAUUUUCUUUAUUUCAGCAAUUUAUGUACUGCUUACCACCAUAGCCCCUAAGAGGUGUGCAAUAAGGUUACAAAACAUAAAGAUAAAAUCAGUUAGGACUAACCUAACGUACCAUGACUUGGCUGAUGUACUGUGUACGAGGCUAUCUUAGACUUCUGGGUUCUCUGUCCAUCAUUGCUUCUUUCUUGGCAAUAUCUGCUUUACCUUACUCUGUGUACAGCUGUUGUGGUUGCUCUGUGCAACUGUCUGAAUUGCACAACAUCUUAAUCAAGUCACCCUUUAUUUACCCAUUUCGUUUGGUCUCUGUAAUAACUGUUUGGAUCAAGUCUUGAUACUUCUUGAUCAUUCCUUUUGCCAUAUGAGUCUCUUGCAGAAAACAAAGUGGCACAUCAGAGAUUGACAAAUGUAUUGUGGCAUAAGCUUUCAUGGACUACAGUCCAUACAGUUAUCUAAUAAAAUUAAAAAUUAAAAAGACAUCCAGAACUAACUGUCUGGAUGCCUUUUGGUAAUCUAGAACCCUUAUUCAGAAUGAUGAAUAAGUGUUCCUUGCUUUUAAAAUGAAAAUCAAGUGAUAUUUCUUGCCUUUGUAAAGAGCCAAGAGCAGUCUAACACAGAGGUAAAUGCAGCUGAGAUGAUAUAUCUGGACAGAAAGGUUUUUGACCUAAUCCCAUAUGACCUCAUUUAAGAAAGCUUCAGAAAUAUGAGAUAGAAGGGUCUACUGUGGGAAGAAUAAUAGUAAUGAAUAGAUCAACAUCAGACGGGGAAGAGAUACCAAUUCCAAGUCUGUUGCUUUUCAACAGCCUCGUAGGCACUACAUAUAUCAGAUUUUUCAGAGGCUAUAAAACACAACUUGCUGGAUUAGAGAAGGAAGGGGUCUGAUAGAUCAUAUAAUAUCACCUUCAUAGGCAGCUUAUUCAGUUGGUGAACUGUUCUUGUAGUUAGGAAGCUUUAGGAACAACAAGAUAGCUAAAUGGAUUUUCUUUCUCCCAUCAAUAUUGCAGCUGAGCCCUGACACCUCCCAUGUCAGAGAGAAAACAGACCUUUUUGUGUGUGUGAGAGAGCUCUUGCUCUGUUUUUGGCCUGGCUGUUAACUGAUAUGAUGCCAGAGGACAGUGGAGGUGCCUGGCCUGGCCUCAUCUUCUGAUAAAAAGAAAAUUACAGCAUCAAGUACACAAAUCUUCCUCUACAAAAACGAAAAAGCCCUCCUUCAUGCCUCACUGUUGCAGACACCAAACUGGGCUGGUUUCCAGGACGGGUUUUUUUUUAGAAGCUUGAAGAUUCUCAGAGAGUACUAGGUAAAGUAGAUGUCCACCAGAUACGUAGCAUGAAGCUAUAGGUCUUGCUUUUCCUUCCUGAAUUACAGGCAUACUGGGAGUGGGGACACACAGGGAAUACUGCAUGUAGGGAGGGGAGGUUUAUCUUUUCCAAGGAAUCACCCUACCCCCAUGCAGCUAGGAGCCUCAGGGAGAAAAUCCCCCAAAUGCAAAAGAAAGAAUAAGAUAUGUAGUGAUGAUCCGUUUGAGGUUACCCAAUGAUCCGAGCUGGUUUCUCUGCUGGUUUUGAGGGCAGGUAGGGCUAUGAACACACAGGCUUCUGAGAAUCAGGGGGAUGUAAGUCUUUGCAAGUCUCUUUGAGUUAUUUUUAAUGAGUAAAGUGACUCCUAAAUAAUAAUUGUAAUGAUAAAUAAUAAUCUGUGGGUACUGUUGAUCAGAUGUCAUCCAACAGGACAGUAUCUUUUGUGAUAGUCUUAGAGCAGCUGCCCCUUCAGGCAUUGGAUUACAACUCCCAUGAUCCCUGACCAGUGGCUGAGGCAACCCAGUCAGAUGGGCGGCAUAUAAACAAUACAAUUAUGAUGAUGGUGACGGUGAUGAUGGUGGCUGGGAUUGAUGGGAGUCCAGUGAAGGCUGUAGGGCUGUAGGUUCCCCAUUUGUGGGCCAAUGAUUGGUGAGUAAGGACUAGACUUGCUGCAAUUUCGGUAGUUUUUGGAAUUACCUUGUGUAAAAGCAGCUCGUUUAGUCAUUCAGUUCUCCAAGUGCCUUAUAACAAAACUUGAAAUCAUUUAUUGAGAAGUUGAUGUAAGUGACUUUGACUGUCUCCUCCCUCCCCCCACCCCAGUCAAAAACUCGCUUUGCAAUUGAUUGCACAACUUAAGUUCUGCUAAUGUUAAUCAUUCUUGGCUGCCAUCUCCACAGGUGCUACUGCAUUUCCAGGGCUUGACGGUAUCUUUAUUCUUGGCAAAACAAAGUUAUUUUCUUUACCUUACACUUCCCUCAAAAAUCACGACUUCCUGCAAUCUUUUUUCCUUGUCCACGAAAGACUGAUUGCCUCACUCAACUUGAAAGGACAACUCAUUCCUGUUGUCUUUUGAUAACUUACAUUUAUUGAGCAUUUUUAAAAAAUCUUUUUUUAAAAAUAAAGUUUGAGGGUGGUGUGGUGGAUAAGGAUUGAUAAGGGAAUUUUAAUUAUUAUUUUCAUGUCAUGUCUCUCAUCCUCCAUAGGCAUUUUGCCUAAUUUUGUAUUCCUCUCAUGUCUCAAUUUACUCCCCAACCAUGCCAUCUGACUCCAACCUCCAGCCCACCUGCUGCACCUGAUUUUACCCUCGCCGAGACUACUUGAUACAGGAGGCUUUCCUUGUGUUCUUAUGUUCUCCCUUCUCUAGCUCAGGGAAACAAGCCUGCCGCCCACGUUUCAGGUGCCAGGCUAAGGCAUUCCUGUUGGCCAGGCUUUUGGUUCCCAAAUUGGAAUGUAAGGCAGUAUGAUUUAUUGCUUGUUUCUGUUGCUCAUCUUUAAGUGGGGUGGGGUAGGAGUCUGUUUGGAGCUGACUUCCCACACUCCUCUGCUAUUAUGACUAACCUAUCUGCUAAUUUAGGCACCAUCGUGCUAUGGUGAACCCUCCUUCCCUGAGUAACAGAGCAGGGUAGGUGGUGGUGAGGAAACCCUGCUUCUUGUGUGCCAAUCUCAUCCACAGGCCAAAGUGGGGGAUGUACUCUGCAUUUACGUCCUCUUCAGUACAGCCAUACCUUGGAAGUUGAACAGAAUCUGUUCCAGAAGUCCGACUUCCAAAACGUUUGAAAACCGAAGUAUGACUUCUGAUUGGCUGCCACACUUAUCCUGGACCCAAGUUGCUAAGUGCCCUUUAAAUCAAUAGAAGAAGCUUAGACCUCUCCUGGGCAACCGACACAAACUUUUAAAUGUUAUGUGCUGCUGGUAAUCUGUCUCCAUCAACGGUCUAGCCACCAUUUUGGACCAGCUAAACGCUGCAAUAUAAAUGAUGUUAAAACAAGAUUCCACCCCCCAUGACCGUUAUGCUUAGAUCAUAAAUUCAAGAAUUUGCUGCUACAGCCAAAUUAAAAUAUGGAAUAUGGUAAAACUGUGCUAACAUUUGUCAAACAAGUAGGUACAUAAAUAUCUUGGCAUUUAGAGGAAGGACAACUUUGACUCACUUGGAAGACUCUGAGAUAACUGUUCUUGGUCCUAUAGAUGGCGAAUCAAUAAAUCUGAGGUCUGGUCGUUGUUGUUUUUUGAAUGAACAAACAGAAAAACAGAAAAAAAUGAGUUUUCUGCAUGGAAGCUAUUGGAUUAAAUAAAAUAAUUAAUCUAUGAGGAUUCAGAGGAAAGUGGAGGGAUGACUAGAAGUCAACAAACCAUUAUAGAGAAUAGCCAUACCAUAUAAAACUUUUUGUUGUUGUUGUUGGCAUCCAUCUGCCUCAGGAGAUAAUGAAGGACUGCGUCUUUGGGGGUGAGGUCAAACUGUUGGAAGGUUGCAGCUGUGACUGUAGAGACCAAUAUAGGAGAGAGAUGUUUUGUUGCAGCUGGGGCAGAUGAAGGCGUCCAGUUGUUCUGCGGCACAUGCGCCAUGGCAUUUCUUCUCUCUAUGCUCCUCCCAGCGGUCAUUCAUCCUGCUAUGAAUACAUGACUCGACUGCCUGUCUCCAGGCUUUGCAGUCAUCUGCAAGAAUUCCCACAUUGCAGGGUUGGUAUUGCCAGCCUCCAUGUCAUGUUUUCAGACAUCUUUGUAACACAAAGUUGGUCUGCCAAUUGACCUGGUGCAGGAAGCCAGCUCCCCAAAGAACACAUCCUUGGGGAUCCUGCCAUCUUCUAGUCUGACCAAGCCAGCAUAGAUAUCACUGAGACAGGAGUGUGAGCUUGGGGAGAGCACAUCUUUGUUUGGAAUUCUGUCCUGCCAUGUGAUACCCAAAAUUCGUGAACAUGCUGGGAAUGUGGGCUUGGGAGAACACAUCUUUGUUUGAGACUCUGUCCUGCUAUGUGAUCAGUGCCAGAUUUACAUAUAAGCUAAACAAGCUAUAGCUUAGGUGGCCCCCCCAAAAAAAUUAAAGAAAAAAGAAACUGGAUGUACAUUUCC
rnacentral:lncRNA from 1 species